UACGUAGGGGGCAAGCGUUUGUCCGGAUUUAUUGGGCGUAAAGAGCGUGUAGGCGGUUAGGUAGGUCCGUUGUGAAAACUCGAGGCUCAACCUCGAGACGCCGAUGGAAACCAUCUGACUAGAGUCCGGAAGAGGAGAGUGGAAUUCCUGGUGUAGCGGUGAAAUGCGUAGAUAUCAUGAGGAAGACCAGUGGACGAAGGCGGGUCUCUGGACAGUUCCUGACACUGAGGC
rnacentral:rRNA from 1 species